rnacentral:rRNA from 1 species
CAGUCGCCGCGGGAAUACGAAGGGUGCAAGCGUUACUCGGAAUUACUGGGCGUAAAGCGUGCGUAGGUGGUGGUUUAAGUCCGUUGUGAAAGCCCUGGGCUCAACCUGGGAAUUGCAGUGGAUACUGGCAAGCUAGAGUGUGUCAGAGGAUGGUGGAAUUCCCGGUGUAGCGGUGAAAUGCGUAGAGAUCGGGAGGAACAUCAGUGGCGAAGGCGGCCAUCUGGGACAACACUGACGCUGAGGCACGAAAGCGUGGGGAGCAAACAGGAUUAGAUACCCCCGUAGUCCCUGUCUCUUAUAC